rnacentral:lncRNA from 1 species
AGAGCCCCCUCUCGGCUGCUGGCCCGGGCUCGCCCGCGCCGCUGGGGGCUCUGACUCCUGCCGAGCCGGGCCUGGGCAGCGCCCCCCGCGCCCCGCGAGCCCGCGCCCCCGUCACCGGGAAACGCCGUAGCCGGCGAUCCGCGGUCGCCCUGGGCUCGGCGCCGGCCCAGCCAGGACCCCGGGAGCGCACGGGACGGGCCUCGCCAGUCACACUCCAGCGCCCCCACGAGCCAGCACAGUGCCUGCUCUCAGUGAAAGGCCACUGUUCUCCUUGGGUGACCCCCAUGAUGCCUGACCGCUCCUCGUGCCUCCUGGAACAGCCAGGGUCCUUAUGAAGUGGUGACCACUCCAGUCAGCAGGGGUGGAAAAUGGUACCAGUCAAACCCGAGGCGGAGGAGGAGCAGCCCGCAGUCGCUGCCGCGAGAUGGAGGAGCCCACGCCCGAGCCCGUCUAUGUCGACGUAGACAAAGGGCUGACCUUGGCCUGCUUCGUCUUCCUCUGCCUCUUCCUUGUCGUGAUGAUCAUCCGCUGUGCCAAGGUCAUCAUGGACCCUUACAGCGCCAUCCCCACAUCCACCUGGGAGGAGCAGCACCUGGACGACUGAGGCACAGCGGCUGUGGGGACUGGACCUGGCGCUCUGUGGGUGGCUGUGCCCCAGGAUGCAUCCGUGUGUUCCCUGCCAGCCUGCCAUCCCACAGAGGCAAGGAAUGAAUCUGGCCACCCAGGGAAACAGAAGGUGCAGCUUAGCCCUCUCAGCCCUCCCUCGAGCACCAGCGUGGAAUGCCCGGGUGCCGUGGGUGUCGCAACCAUGGACCAGCCAGGGGAAAAGAGCCCUGGACCAGGACCCAGGAGGCUGGGGUUCCAGUGUGGGGAGUCCCUGUGAGAUGAUAGGGUAGUCACCUUCCCAGGUUCCUGGGCACCUUUUGGAACUGGAUCCAGCAACAGACACCCCCCAUCCAUCACAUAACAGUGGUCUUGUCUUGAGGAGACUCUCGGUCCUUUAAAUGCAAAGUAGCAAUGGAGGCUCCCAACCAAGAGGUCCCACCUGAACCCCAGCCCCCUCCCCAUGGACUAGCAGUGGUGUGGCAGUGAGGGGGGAAAGCGGGUUGAGGGAGUCUCACCUGAAAAUUCACAAAACGCACAGGAUAUGGGCUGCUUCCAAGCAGUAUUUUUUUAAACUAAAAUAUAGAGGGAUAUAUUUUUCCUGUUAUAAAUAAAAUGUACAUUUUAGAAACUUGGGAAAAUGCAGAUAAAUAGAAAGAAAGGGGGAGGAAAUAACACUUAUAAUCCCACCUCCCGGAAACCACCAUUUUGAUAUAUUUUCUUCCAGCCUUUUUACUUGUAUUUUUUAGUCAAAUUCAUACUCUGUGCAUGAUGUUGUAUCGCCUCAUAUGAUAGCAGGAAUACUUCCCCAUUACAUCAAACACUCUUCUUAGCUGCCAGUUUUAGUGACCGAAGGGCAUCCCAUCGGUUGGGUAGGUCAUGGUUAAAAAAUCAUCUCCUUUGGUUGCAUAUUUAAUUAUUUUCCACUAUUUUUUCCUCACACAAAAUGAUUUCGCCCGGUACCCUUUUUGGGGGUGCACAGUCCAUGAGAUGAAUAUUGAAUGGGGAGACCUGGGUUCUAGUCUCGCAUUUACCAGUCAGGUUACAAUGCGACCUUGAGCAAGUCACUUCACCUCCCAGCGCCUCAGUUUCCUCAUUGUAAGAUAGGAAAAGCCUUGUCAUUUUUAAAAUUUUAUUUUUUGCAUAUACCUCAUGUGAACGAAAGGACAGAAAGGGGAGUGAAUAUACUAUGAAUGUGCUAUAGUCGGAGUUGGGGGGCAAGGAAGAAGUCAUCGAUGAUGGCUCUUCUCAGGCCCUCCCUCCUCCCACCUCUUUCUGCCCUCCACCCCACUCCCACUCCAUCACCUACAUCUAUGACCUUGCAGCAAAAUCAUUAGAGCAGAGCCUACAAAACCGGCCCCAAGUCCCAAUUCCUCUACUUCCUUGUUAGAGGACCCCAAAUAACUCACUCAGCCUCUCUGAGCCCCAAUUUCCUCACCUGUAAAGUGAGGGAAUAACAUCUACCUCGCAAGGUUGUUGUGAGGACGAAAUGAGAGAACAUGGGCAAACAUGAAUGUUCUUGAAUUCACCACCCCAGGAGAAGCCAGGGGUCUGAGCUGGGAGGAGCAGAGGUUCUGGGUGCCCCCUGCCCCUACAGAGCCUGGCACCUUCAGCUUUUCUCAACUUCUGAGGGCUGCUUCCUACAGGCCAAAUCUCCCAGCCGGAACCACUUGGUCAGAGGAACACUCACAGCAGCCUUUCCCAGCACCUGACCUCAAGGGAUAUGGCGUCUACCAAUUUACAUAAUUGCCUUUGUCAUCAGUUUUCCCAUAACAUGGUACGAAGUUAAAUGAGAGCACCUGAGCUCCCCUUCCUCUGAGUGCAUUUAUUCCAUCCCUCCAAGCUGUGGCCUUCCAUCCCCAUCCAAGAGACCUGCAGCUGUGAAGAAGCUCAAGACUUCUUUCUCAUUGCCUGCCUCCCAGCCAUUAGUCCCCACCACAGCCCAGGCCACCUGGAAAAUGGGUUCCAAAGCACUAUCACUACUAGGUGACCCCUGAAUGUGGACAAGGCCACAGCUCUUCAGGCAGCAUUUCAGGGGCUAUCCAGUUGUCAUCCCUCUCAUACCCCUCUCCUACCCACCCCUAUCCCCACUAUUGUGGAAUGCACGAAGGGACAGCUGGCAAAGGCAGUGAACCAAGAUGCAGGGAAGGCCCUGUAUGAUGGGGAGGAUCUAAAGCAAAAGCCUUUUGUGCAUUGCCUCAGGUUCAGCAGCAGCAGCCCUCACUCUGAAGCCUACCUUGAGAAGCCAGGCAUUUCUGUGAAAAGCUCAUCAGCAUGCAUUUACAAUGCAAACUAGAACCAACUCCCAGUCAGCUAAUAACAGACCCCAGGAAAAAGAAAAGGUCUUCCAGACCUCCCCGACACACUUUAGAACCCUCAGGGGUGAAAAAGAGGGUGCUCCAGGGCAGUGCAACUUAAACUGUGGUUGAAGGACAAACAGCCUCUGCAAUACUUGAGGAGCUUGUUAGAAACCCAAACUCACAGCCCCCUCCAGACCUACGUACAGAAUGUAUAUUAGCAAGAUUCGCUAGGUGGUUUAUGUGCACGUUAAAGUUUAAGAAGCACUGCCUGAGAAUCCCUUGGUCCUAAUUAAUUCUUUUCCACACUCAGAUUUGCUAAUGGGUUUCACCUUAUCUCUUGACUCUUGUUUGAUGGCAACAGGAAAUAGUAGCAUUUCAGGAAGGGUGGAAAAUAUAAAAAGCACUCCCAACCCAAGCCUCCAAAAAACAGCAAUUUUCAUUUUGUGUCCAUAUAUUCCCUUCUAAUCAUUGUCCUCAUGCAAGAUUUUUUUUCAUAAAGAUGAUCUGCUACAUAAUUUUAUAUCAUACUCUUUCUCCUAACAUUACAUCACAAGUAUACUUUCAUGUUGCUGCUACAUUCUUCACACUUGUCAUUUUAAUGGCCAUAAAACAUGACAUCUAGUGCACAUAUAUAAUUAUGUAGACUCCUAUUAUUAAAUAUUUGGAUUUCUUCCAUUUUCCCUGUUGUACAUGUUCCAAGCAAAAAAAGAAAGAUCAAGAUAGAUAUGAUGAAGCCGGGGAGCUUGCUUAAGACAGGGGAGAAUAAAUACUUACAGUACACUCUCUCCAUUUAAGAGACACAUGGAGCACAUGGGGGAGGGAGACCUGUCUAAGAACUGGAUCAUAUUAAGGAGAAAAAAGCAACUGGAAUCUCAGGCUUCAGUUGUUGCAUUAUGCUGCUGAAGCAUAGAGGAGAUGGUCCUUUGUGAUCAGAGCGUCUCAACUCGUUUCUGGCAAGCUAAGAUGAACUUUGGGGUUGUGGAUAGAAAGAUAAACUGAUCUGCAAAAGAAAUGCACAGAAGUAUUGAAGGCUAGAAGUUGGCAGACAAGAAAUGAAAAGCAUUUAGAGAAUGGGAGGCCUGUGAAGGUAGCCACAACCCAGGACUUAAGGAGAACACAGGCUGGAGAGGAACUCUCCAAAGCAGAGAAUGGGUGGUGGGUUUUCCAGGCAAUGGUGCCUAGUGGCCAGUUUUAAGUUGUUGCUUGUACUGUGCUCAGCUACACUCCCUUCAUGUUGCCCCAAGCCCUCUCUAAAGUCUGAUAAAUGAUCCACCACUCUGCAGCAGUGGUCUUUGGGACAAUGAAGACACCUCGGUGGUGGGUCACUUAGGGAAAUACAAUCUGGAAGGGGCCAACAGUCCCAGAGACAAGUGGGGUAGCAGAAAUAUGCAGAACCAAGAGUUCAGAGUGAUGGUCACUAGAAGAAAUGUGGCCUCUAAGGAUGCUCAGACAGGUGGAUAUGUAUAGUAGGACCCUAGCUUUACCAUCCUGGCAUAUCAUUCCCAUCAUAGCUAUUUCAUUUUUUUCCAAUUAGUUGCUGAAAUGUCUACAUGUUCUUAUCGAGUUGAAAGAUCAGUGUCUCCCUGUCUCAUUAAAUUUCCAGAACUUCAGAGGCUAAAUCAAUCCAAAAGGGGCUGGCCCUGCUUUCAAACACCAAGUGAAGAGAACUACAAAGUUUGGUGUGUCCACUAGUGUGGUUUCAUACCCCCUAGGUCUUGCUGUUGAGGACUGGUUCUGCCAGGCAUGAUCAAUGACCACCCACAAUGUCCUGUGGCCCAGCCUGUGGAGAGGUGCCCAAACAGAGUUAUCUGGGUCCACAUCCAUGUGCCCAGCUAUUCUGUCCAAUCAUAGCACAAAGACAGGUUGCCUGUGUCCAGAGGGACACACAGCCUCAGGCACACCAGCCCUUACUUAUGAGCUUGAUGGUCAUCAGCAAAGACUCUCUCCCUUUAGGAGGGUUCUCCUUGGGACUUUUCAGUGUCUUGGCAGGAAAGAGAUGGCACACACGAAGCACUGAUUGAAGACAGUUUAAUGAAAGAAUAUUUACAGAGGUUGGGCAAGGGUAUGGAAAACAACAGGGAACAGUAAAACACCCAGGGAUGACAAGGCAAGGUAGCUCAUGUCUGUAAUCUCAGCACUUUGGGAGGCCAACACAGGCAGAUUGCUUGAGCCCAGGAGUUUGAAACCAGCCUGGCAACAUAAGCAAGAAUCUGUUUAUCUACAAAAAAUAAAAUAAUUAAAAAAAAAUUACCUGGCUGUGGUGUUGCACACCUAUAGUCCCAGCUACUCAGGAGUCUGAGGUGGGAGGAUCACUUGAGUCCAGGAGUUUGAGGUUACAAUGAGCUAGGAUCACACUACUGCACUCCAGCCUAGGCGACAAAGAGAGAUGCUGUCUCUAAAAAUAAAAAACAAAAACAAACUACCCAGGAACAGGCAGGCCACCAACUGUUACCAUCUCUUGCCUAGAGAGACAAGGAGAAGGAUCUAGAACCCAGGGAGAGCUAUAGCCAUGGAGAAGGAGUCACCCAAUGGAAGCCCUGGCCACAGCUAGAGGAUCAAAACUCCUGCACCCACUGCAGCUCAGUAGGAAGAGAGCUGGGGGAAUAAAUACCUUGACCUCUUGCCUCCUGCCCUCCAAUCUCCUGUCUGGGUCUUCCAUUGGCCAAAAACAACAGAAGCUAAAGGUCAGGGGACCCUGGGUGAUACGGUCCACAUAGGCAGCACACUGGAGCAAAAGAAGAAAAACCAGCACAAUUCAUCUUAUUACCACUUAGCAGCCAUUCACAAACUUUGCUUAGAUGGGAGAAAAAUAUUUUGUCCCCGGCACAGGGGAAACAUAAAAUCUCACCAGCAGCCAUAUUGUCUGGGGGUGAUAGCAAUUUAGUCCCACUCCCUCCUGCAACUUAAAUCAUAAUGUAGCCAGUCCCGGGUAAGUGGAACACUUCCUGUAAAGCACAACUGCUAGUGCCCCCUUCUGUGGCUGGUCAUGAGGCCCAGAGUGGUAACUGCAGUCUUGUUCUCCCACCACCCAUUCCAUAGCCCCUCUACUUUCUGGCAGUCCCUUAGCUGUUGGAGAAUUUUAUCUGGUGGAAUGACCCAAAUCUUCAUCCACAGAGGAUUCAAAUUCUUAGUGCCGUGUCUUCAAUGAGUUGCCACAGUAUCCACAGAUUCCUAAAGAACAUGAAGAGGCCUUGAAGAUCUCACCUGGAAGCUCUGUAAAAUUAUCAGAAAGAAUAGCAGGUGCUCUAGGGCAACACUACUCAAACUAUGGUCCACGGAUGGACAGCAUUGGCAUCUCUGGGGAGCUUGUUAGAAAUCUAAUUUCAUGCCCCCACCUCAGGCUUACAGAAUGAGGACAAGGGAUACAGGGAGUACCAAGUGCCCUAGCGAAUCCCAGGGUUCCAAAGCUAGUACUCCUUGCCCCUAUUGUGUAGCAGAAACCCCACUUUCCCUUGGAUAUUGGGGUUAACCAUCCUGACAGUGCAGUGAUCUCUUUCUCUGCCAAUAUUUCAACAUAAGGAGCCCCAGAUGGCACAAGAUCAUCUUCCAAUUUAACAGACCCAUAACUAUAUUCCCUGGUGGAAGCAGUUCCUCUUGGUCACUAGAGAUUUCCAAACCCACAAAACCUAAGGUUUCUUGGUUAAAGGCCAUGUUUGUGGGAUAUGCUGAGAUGAAUAUGCUGUGGUUUGAAUGUGUCCCCCAAAGUUCAUAUGUUGGAAACUUGAUUCCCAUUGCAACAGUGUUGAGAUCUGGGGCCCAAUGAGAGGUGAUUAGGCCAUGAGGGCGGAGUGAAUGGAUUAAUGCAGUUAUCUCAAGAGUGGGUUUGUUAUGAAGGGGGUGUUUGGUCCUCUUUUCUCUCUUGCCCAUGUGAUUCCUUCCACCAUGUUUAUGAUGCAACAAGAAGGUCCUCACCAGAUGCUGGUUCCUUGAUCUUGUAUUUUGCAGCCUCCAAAAUCGUGAGCCAAAUAAAUUUCUAUUCAUUAUAAA